rnacentral:lncRNA from 1 species
CUAGCUGCAAUCUUUCUAAAGCAAGAAGGGAGAAACUUGACUUUGAGAAAGAAAAGGGGCGCGCUAGCUGCAAUCAAACUAAAGCGCUAACGAGCAAGAAAGGCCCCUAUGAAAAUGGAAAUCCACCCUCUUCCUAUAGAAAGUGGAGUUAGGACUUAUAAACUGAAGUACAGAUCUAACAAAUAAUACAAUACUGUUGCGAGUCCUUAAUAACUUUACUAAUA